UGGGGAAUAUUGGACAAUGGGCGAAAGCCUGAUCCAGCCAUGCCGCGUGUGUGAAGAAGGUCUUCGGAUUGUAAAGCACUUUAAGUUGGGAGGAAGGGCAUUAACCUAAUACGUUAGUGUUUUGACGUUACCGACAGAAUAAGCACCGGCUAACUCUGUGCCAGCAGCCGCGGUAAUACAGAGGGUGCAAGCGUUAAUCGGAAUUACUGGGCGUAAAGCGCGCGUAGGUGGUUAGUUAAGUUGGAUGUGAAAUCCCCGGGCUCAACCUGGGAACUGCAUUCAAAACUGACUGACUAGAGUAUGGUAGAGGGUGGUGGAAUUUCCUGUGUAGCGGUGAAAUGCGUAGAUAUAGGAAGGAACACCAGUGGCAAAGGCGACCACCUGGACUAAUACUGACACUGAGGUGCGAAAGCGUGGGGAGCAAACA
rnacentral:rRNA from 1 species